AGGAUUGGCCUGCAUGCUCCAGCAGGGUGAUACCUCAGGCAACUCCCAGUCGGUGGCACAGCGGGGCUAAGGCAGACUCCCUGCCUGCCCUGGCUCCGAACUGCUCCCAUAAGCGGCCGGCAUGUCCGGUCCCUAGGCAGAGGC